GGGAGAACACCCAACUGCAGGGGGAAAAAAAUAAUAAAUAAAGCUGGGAGUCUUGGAAGGAUUAUGUUUAAAGGAAGGAGAUGACUGCUAAUUAACGUGACAAGAGAGAAAGCCUCACCUACUGACAGGUUAUUCAUCCCACGAGUGUUAGAAUCCUCCUCAGCGAUGUCUGUUCCUAUAAUUCCUGGAAAAAGGCUCAUGCUGGAGGAACAGCUGACCAGAGCCCUCAGUGCCAGCUCCCAUCUUUGUAUUUUGUCUUGAUGAGCUUUACACCAGAGGAGAAUUACAGCCUGCUCUGUGGCAGCGAUUUGAAGCCAUAAAGGAAUGCAAUUGUGGAAUGAAACCCGCUCUGUGUGCUGUGAGAUAACUUCACCUGACACAGAAAAUGAGCGGGAACUCGGAGGCAGUGAUUCUAAAGCUGGUUUGAGGAUGGGGGUUGUGGAGGGAUGGCUCCAGAAGGGACCACGACUGUGGCUGUCCAUCCAUGGCAAGAGGCUCUGGCUGAAGGCCCCCGUGUGACACUGAUCUGUAAAGUACCACACAGAGCCCAGCCCUGGCUUGGAGGAGGGAAUUCCAGCUUGGUGCUCCUUUUCUUGGUCUCUUCUUCCUCACUUUGCUUCAUUUAAAGUUUUUAAUGAGAGUCCAGACCUAUCUUAGGCACAGCACCUGGGACAGGCUCCUAGUGGAUGUUACAGCACCCUGACAAGGACUCUGCGCUCAUAUUCUUGAGCUGACCCAGAGGAUUCAAACAGCAGUUUCAUUUUUCCUCUUUUAAUUUAAUUGAAGAACAUAAAAGGAGCUUUUGACUUUUACUGGUGGAACCUGAGGAGGACUGAAGCAGUUUAAACUUGACCGACCUUAAUC
rnacentral:lncRNA from 12 species